ACCUGAAAUCCUUACCGGGAAACAGAUUAACAAUGC
rnacentral:sRNA from 1 species